CACCGCCGUCACACCACGAAAGUCAAUUUCACCAGAAGUCACUGUGCUAACCGCAAGGAGGCAGGUGCCAAGGUGAGGUCGAUGAUUGGGGUG
rnacentral:rRNA from 1 species